rnacentral:rRNA from 1 species
GACGAACGCUGGCGGCGUGCCUAAUACAUGCAAGUAGAACGCUGAAGGAGGAGCUUGCUUCUCUGGAUGAGUUGCGAACGGGUGAGUAACGCGUAGGUAACCUGCCUGGUAGCGGGGGAUAACUAUUGGAAACGAUAGCUAAUACCGCAUAAUAGUAGAUGUUGCAUGAUAUUUGCUUAAAAGGUGCAAUUGCAUCACUACCAGAUGGACCUGCGUUGUAUUAGCUAGUUGGUGGGGUAACGGCUCACCAAGGCGACGAUACAUAGCCGACCUGAGAGGGUGAUCGGCCACACUGGGACUGAGACACGGCCCAGACGCCUACGGGAGGCAGCAGUAGGGAAUCUUCGGCAAUGGACGGAAGUCUGACCGAGCAACGCCGCGUGAGUGAAGAAGGUUUUCGGAUCGUAAAGCUCUGUUGUAAGAGAAGAACGAGGGUGAGAGUGGAAAGUUCACACUGUGACGGUAUCUAACCAGAAAGGGACGGCUAACUACGUG